rnacentral:tRNA from 1 species
GCGUGUAUCGUCCAAAGGAUAGGACCUGAGUCUCCAAAACUCAUGAUGUCGGUUCAAUUCCGGCUGCACGUGCCA